UUUUUUUGUCUUUGUUCAUCUUUCUCUUUUCAAGUUUGAAAAUCUUGGCUAUGAAAAUUCCAUUCAGUAAUAGUGGUACUGAAAUGGUACUGUGUCAUAUCGAAACCGAUCGGCUCCGGUAUGAUUCGGUAUCAAAAAACUAAAACACUAAUUCUAUACCAUACCGUACCGUGUUGUUUGAAAAUUCCGAUAUCAAAAGCAGG
rnacentral:lncRNA from 1 species